GGGUUGUGAGGUUAAGCGACUAAGCGUACACGGUGGAUGCCCUGGCAGUCAGAGGCGAUGAAGGACGUGCUAAUCUGCGAUAAGCGUCGGUAAGGUGAUAUGAACCGUUAUAACCGGCGAUUUCCGAAUGGGGAAACCCAGUGUGAUUCGUCACACUAUCAUUAACUGAAUCCAUAGGUUAAUGAGGCGAACCGGGGGAACUGAAACAUCUAAGUACCCCGAGGAAAAGAAAUCAACCGAGAUUCCCCCAGUAGCGGCGAGCGAACGGGGAGCAGCCCAGAGCCUGAAUCAGUGUGUGUGUUAGUGGAAGCGUCUGGAAAGGCGUGCGAUACAGGGUGACAGCCCCGUACACAAAAAUGCACAUGCUGUGAGCUCGAUGAGUAGGGCGGGACACGUGGUAUCCUGUCUGAAUAUGGGGGGACCAUCCUCCAAGGCUAAAUACUCCUGACUGACCGAUAGUGAACCAGUACCGUGAGGGAAAGGCGAAAAGAACCCCGGCGAGGGGAGUGAAAAAGAACCUGAAACCGUGUACGUACAAGCAGUGGGAGCACAGAGCAAUCUGUGUGACUGCGUACCUUUUGUAUAAUGGGUCAGCGACUUAUAUUCUGUAGCAAGGUUAACCGAAUAGGGGAGCCGAAGGGAAACCGAGUCUUAACUGGGCGUUAAGUUGCAGGGUAUAGACCCGAAACCCGGUGAUCUAGCCAUGGGCAGGUUGAAGGUUGGGUAACACUAACUGGAGGACCGAACCGACUAAUGUUGAAAAAUUAGCGGAUGACUUGUGGCUGGGGGUGAAAGGCCAAUCAAACCGGGAGAUAGCUGGUUCUCCCCGAAAGCUAUUUAGGUAGCGCCUCGUGAAUUCAUCUCCGGGGGUAGAGCACUGUUUCGGCAAGGGGGUCAUCCCGACUUACCAACCCGAUGCAAACUGCGAAUACCGGAGAAUGUUAUCACGGGAGACACACGGCGGGUGCUAACGUCCGUCGUGAAGAGGGAAACAACCCAGACCGCCAGCUAAGGUCCCAAAGUCAUGGUUAAGUGGGAAACGAUGUGGGAAGGCCCAGACAGCCAGGAUGUUGGCUUAGAAGCAGCCAUCAUUUAAAGAAAGCGUAAUAGCUCACUGGUCGAGUCGGCCUGCGCGGAAGAUGUAACGGGGCUAAACCAUGCACCGAAGCUGCGGCAGCGACGCUUAUGCGUUGUUGGGUAGGGGAGCGUUCUGUAAGCCUGCGAAGGUGUGCUGUGAGGCAUGCUGGAGGUAUCAGAAGUGCGAAUGCUGACAUAAGUAACGAUAAAGCGGGUGAAAAGCCCGCUCGCCGGAAGACCAAGGGUUCCUGUCCAACGUUAAUCGGGGCAGGGUGAGUCGACCCCUAAGGCGAGGCCGAAAGGCGUAGUCGAUGGGAAACAGGUUAAUAUUCCUGUACUUGGUGUUACUGCGAAGGGGGGACGGAGAAGGCUAUGUUGGCCGGGCGACGGUUGUCCCGGUUUAAGCGUGUAGGCUGGUUUUCCAGGCAAAUCCGGAAAACUAAGGCUGAGGCGUGAUGACGAGGCACUACGGUGCUGAAGCAACAAAUGCCCUGCUUCCAGGAAAAGCCUCUAAGCAUCAGGUAACAUCAAAUCGUACCCCAAACCGACACAGGUGGUCAGGUAGAGAAUACCAAGGCGCUUGAGAGAACUCGGGUGAAGGAACUAGGCAAAAUGGUGCCGUAACUUCGGGAGAAGGCACGCUGAUAUGUAGGUGAAGCGACUUGCUCGUGGAGCUGAAAUCAGUCGAAGAUACCAGCUGGCUGCAACUGUUUAUUAAAAACACAGCACUGUGCAAACACGAAAGUGGACGUAUACGGUGUGACGCCUGCCCGGUGCCGGAAGGUUAAUUGAUGGGGUUAGCGCAAGCGAAGCUCUUGAUCGAAGCCCCGGUAAACGGCGGCCGUAACUAUAACGGUCCUAAGGUAGCGAAAUUCCUUGUCGGGUAAGUUCCGACCUGCACGAAUGGCGUAAUGAUGGCCAGGCUGUCUCCACCCGAGACUCAGUGAAAUUGAACUCGCUGUGAAGAUGCAGUGUACCCGCGGCAAGACGGAAAGACCCCGUGAACCUUUACUAUAGCUUGACACUGAACAUUGAGCCUUGAUGUGUAGGAUAGGUGGGAGGCUUUGAAGUGUGGACGCCAGUCUGCAUGGAGCCGACCUUGAAAUACCACCCUUUAAUGUUUGAUGUUCUAACGUUGACCCGUGAUCCGGGUUGCGGACAGUGUCUGGUGGGUAGUUUGACUGGGGCGGUCUCCUCCUAAAGAGUAACGGAGGAGCACGAAGGUUGGCUAAUCCUGGUCGGACAUCAGGAGGUUAGUGCAAUGGCAUAAGCCAGCUUGACUGCGAGCGUGACGGCGCGAGCAGGUGCGAAAGCAGGUCAUAGUGAUCCGGUGGUUCUGAAUGGAAGGGCCAUCGCUCAACGGAUAAAAGGUACUCCGGGGAUAACAGGCUGAUACCGCCCAAGAGUUCAUAUCGACGGCGGUGUUUGGCACCUCGAUGUCGGCUCAUCACAUCCUGGGGCUGAAGUAGGUCCCAAGGGUAUGGCUGUUCGCCAUUUAAAGUGGUACGCGAGCUGGGUUUAGAACGUCGUGAGACAGUUCGGUCCCUAUCUGCCGUGGGCGCUGGAGAACUGAGGGGGGCUGCUCCUAGUACGAGAGGACCGGAGUGGACGCAUCACUGGUGUUCGGGUUGUCAUGCCAAUGGCACUGCCCGGUAGCUAAAUGCGGAAGAGAUAAGUGCUGAAAGCAUCUAAGCACGAAACUUGCCCCGAGAUGAGUUCUCCCUGACUCCUUGAGAGUCCUGAAGGAACGUUGAAGACGACGACGUUGAUAGGCCGGGUGUGUAAGCGCAGCGAUGCGUUGAGCUAACCGGUACUAAUGAACCGUGAGGCUUAACCUUACAACGCCGAAGGUGUUU
rnacentral:rRNA from 1 species